ACCCCUGUGCCAGAGAGCAGCAGCAGCACUGAGGUACAGGAAUGGCGCCAUUUUGUCCAGCUUGUGGAGCAGCACCUGGACACGUCUGCAGCGGUCAUAUGAUGUGGGUGGAGCCUGCUGGGUCCCUCAUGAAGCCCUGCUCUCCGUAAAGGCUAUGUACAGUGAGGAUGUGGCCACUCAUUUUACAAGAUUGGUUCUCCUGAAGAAGCGGAUACCCCGCGAAACUAGU